AGAGAGAGAGAGAGAGAGAGAGAGAGAGAGAAUGAUAACUUCAAGAAGCCAUUAUCACUCCUAGAGAUGAAACUGUAAAAAGGGGAAAGUGUCAUAAUCCAGGUCCCAGGAUUCUGCAUUUUGUGACAGAGCAGUGACAUAGCAAAACCACCGCUAAAACUGGGCAGAUUCCCCGGACCCACAUCCCUGCCAAUGCUGCUACCAGAAGCAGAAAUAGCUUCUACCUUCUUCAUGCCUUCUAAUCUCACUUGAGUGCUUCCCAUCAGUAGACCCUAGCAAGGGAGUCUUGGAAAUGAGUGUUUUUUUCAGGUGCCCAGACCCUUGUAAUACAGAGGAGAGGAAGAAAGAGCAGGUAUGGGUCUCUUGGCGACAGGCAACAUUCAGUACAAUCCUAAAAACCUGGAAGACCUUAUUCUCCUUUGCUCUGGCCACAAGUGUGUAUCCUUCCGUCUGUCCAUCUGUGUUAAACCCCAGCUCCUGUUUAAAGCAAACCCACCUCACUUCCCACCCUAUCCUCACUAGCCUGCUUACCCAGGAUUCCAUAACGCAUCUUUCACAAGGACCCAAAGUUUACUGCACAGUUGGUACAUCCCUACUCCCUCCUGACUACUCCAAAUCCUAGAGCACAAACAUGCUGGUUCUUUCUGGUAUUUCCAGGUUGAUAAAUUGCAGGACAAAGUCCCAUGAUCCCUUGAGUUUCCACCAUAGCAAAAUAAAAACAAUGGGCUUCACUUCUGCCUGAAAUACUCAUAUUCGUCCUCUGGCAGGCUGCCAGUUUCAUCCCCAAGGGGGCUGCUCCAACCUCCCUCUCCCCUCCAAUCCCACUUCCUCUCUCUGUGUACCAUACAACUUACAAGAUCCAGACCACAUAUCACUUCCCUCCACCUCAUAAUCGUCUCCUUUUCCUUUGUUUAUUUCCUCUGGUCUCUGCAGAAGAAGGACUUUCUCUUUCUAGGGUUCACGCCUGAACCCUUCCUACCUCUCCCUUCCCCCAGGGAAGAUCUCUUCUUGCUUUCUCUCUACACCGGCUGCUUGUCUCUGGCUUACACCCAAGUGUUUCCCACCCCCAAGAAAGUCUUUCCUCCAUUCUGAUUUCUCCUGAGCUUUCAUCCCACCUUCCACCCUCCUUUCGCAGCUAAACUUCUCGAAAAAGUAUUAUAUGCUCACCGCCUCUACUUCCUCACCUCCCACUCAGUCCCAACCACUAGCAAUCUGGUUUCCAUACUCAUAACACUGCAGAAAUUGCUCUCUUAAAGGCCACCAAUGACCUCUGAGUCGCCCAACCUGAUAGUUCUGACGGUUACUAGUUACCAUCCUCAUAGACCCACUCCUUUGCCAGGUCAAAUGCACCAGGUAACCAAAUUCUGAGCCAGUUGUCCUAGCUGGUGUGUCAUAGCACAUGGGUGUGCUGGAUAUUGGUCACAGCCAGGCCUGGGCUGCACCAUUCAGCCAUAUGGGUGAUUACAAUAUGGAAAUAUUUCCAAACCACUGCCAGAGUCCCCUUUCCACCGCCUGGCUGCCAAAGCCCCUGAUCUAGGACCCCAAGGCAGACCUCAUUAUGUAACAAUGAGACAGAGCUAUAUCUGGUGUGGCAGGGGGCUUUGCUCUUAUUGGUUGGUACCUGGAUGUACCAGUUGUUAGAGAUUGUCAAUAUCACCAUGCUUACUGCUGUGCUGAGAUAUUGAUUCGUUCAGUGCUGGGGAUUCAUUCAGUGCCAUGUAGAGUCAGGGGAGUCAGAGGGCAAAUCAGCCCCAGUGAAGAACAGCCUCUCCAUAUACCCUCCAUGUGCCAUACAAAUACCAUUUUCUACGUGAGCCUUGGCAUGGGGACAUUGAGAAGCAAAACCCUAAGCCCCUCACCUUCCCUGAUUCCCAUGAUAGGAGCCUGUUCUAAUACCCCUUUGUGGGCUGCUUUUCUGUUUCCUCGCCUGGCUUCUCUACCAGGGUGACCUUGGAUAAGCUACUUAACCUUGUUGAGCCUCAGGCUCCUCCUCCAUAAAAUGGGGCUAACAGAUUUCUGCUUUGUGAAGAGGAUCAUGGGUAAUAUGUGUAAAAUGGCUAGUGUAGGACCACACAUGGAGUAAAGCCAAAUAAGUGUAAAUUCCUAACCCCCACCUCCCUCUCACUCUAUGCUUUCUCCCCUGGGGAUGUGCUCUACUUACACCUCCAUUCUACAUCUGGCUAUUUCUUCCAGACCCAUUUAUUGAAUUAUGUCCUGGACAAGAGGACCUAGGGUCUCAAACUCCAAACGUCCAGUGUGGAGCUCAUCAUUCCCCCACCUCCCACAUUCUCCAUCUCCCAGUAUCUCUCAAGGACACCAAUCACUCUUCCAGUUGAGUAAACUUCAUAAUGUGAAGUGAGCUUUGACCAUGAUCCUCCUUCCCCUCAGACCCCACAGUCUUGUCCCCUCUAAGGUCUGGUUCCUUCUACUUCUCCCAUCUACCUCCUUUUAUUGUCACUAAGAUAGCCUUCAAUCUGACUCCUUUCCCCCCUUAACCUGGACUAUUUCAAUAUUUAUAAAUGCUUUUCUGUUGUCAGGUCUUUCUCCUAUCAGUUCACCCACCAAGCUCUUACAUAGAUCUGUUCAAAACACUACAGUGUUGCCCAGUUGUCCGCACGAAGGAACCCAGACCCACUACCUCCAUGUUCAAGGCACUGACGGCCGAGUCUGCUCCUACCUCCUGCUAUGCUCUUGUAAAAUAAUAAUAGUAAUAAUAACUAACACAUCUUGAAAACUUAGUUUGUGUCACUCUAAUAUUCAAAAGUCAUUUAUGUCAUUUAAUCCCCUCAUCCAGCUUGUGACAUUGUCACUAUUAUUAAUCGCACUUUAGUGUUGAAGUAAUGGAACCUCAAGGAGGCUCAGCAACUAACCUAAAGUAACUUUCCUUACAGGCAGGGCACUUAAGUUUAAACCAAGAGACUAUAUCCAGAGCCCCCAUUUCUCACCACCAUGUCUUUUUCCACCAUUGCUUUGGCCACACCAGAAAAUUCCCCACACUCACUUUCCUGCCCUGCCUCCUUGCCUUCACCUGUACUAUUACCCCGACCUGCACCACCAGUUUCUCUCAUCUCUUUACCCACUAAAAAAUGCCAUCCAUCCUUCAAGUGUAAUUCAGAUGUCAAUGCCUCCUCGAAGUCUUGUCUGAUUUCCUUGCUUUACAAGUGAUCCCUUCAGGGGGUGCCUGGGAGGCUCUGUCCAUUAAACAUCUGACUCUUGAUUUCAGCUUCAGGUCCUGAUCUGAGGGUUGUGGGAUCGAGCAUGGAGCCUGCUUGAGAUUCUCUCUCUCCCUCUGCUCCUCUCUCCCACUUGCGUGUUCUCUCUCUCUCUCUCUCUCUCUCUCUCCCUCCCUCGCUCUCUCCCUCAGAAAACAUUUUAGAAAGUGAUCUCUCUAUUCUGGAAACACAGAAUUUUCCCAAACUUUUCACUUUUACCUUAUUCUCUGAUAUUGUAGUCAUACAGAGCUGGUCGGCUCUACCAGAGUCUAGGAUGGGGCCACAGCUGUUCUUUCCCUUAAUCCUUGUCUGUACUUUUCACAUGAAACCUACAAAGGCAGUUUUAUUAGGGGGAGUUGAAUUAUUGUCCUGCUCGGGACCAGGAAUGGGUUGGUUUCUGCUUCACUCUCCAAGUCCCUUUGAAAGAAAAGCCAAGGGCUUGAUUAAGGAACGGAAAGAAUUUUGUAGUCAGUCAAUUCCUGCUGCGAUAAAUCUCUUGGGUGAAGGAUGCUAAGGCAGGGACAUAAAUGACAACAGCCAUGCUUCCACAGUUGACUGGAUUAUAAAACAAACCACAUACUUAUGACUGUAUGCUCUAAACAAUGCAUAAAAGAAGGCAGGGUGAGGUGAAGGAAGGGACUAAGAGCUGGUGUGCAAGCAGGAAAUCUGCCCUGUCCAUUGGGGAGACUGGGACUGUGAUUUUCCUUACCCUGAUUUUCCUUAAACAAGUCUAUUCCACAACCAGUCACUUCUAGCACAGGCUCUGGAGUUCAAGUGCCAGGGAUAGCAUGUUGACUCCGCUCCUGCCAACUCUCUGACCUAGCAAGUUACUCAGCCUCUCUGUGCCAUGUUUCCCUACCUGUAAAAUGGGGACAAGAACAGUACCUGUCUCACAGGGUUUUGUGAGAAUUAAAGACCAUAACUAUUGUCCACGGCAAAGAGGCGUGGCCGGCACACAGUGCAUCGAAUGUGUUGCCUGGAAAGCCUGCUGUUAUGUGCCCGGUGGCAAGAGAAAUGGGGCUGGGGGUGCAAGGCGGUCUGGGGAAGGCUGGGGCAAGUGCCUGGGUAGAGCUAAGAGAUCUGAUCUCUCCCAGGUCCCCUUGGGCACUUGCCACAGCCCAGUGUUUCUACUUCAAUACCACCCUUAGGAUCUGGGGAUUCCCUGGUAGGAGGCAAAAGCCAGAGAAGUCAAUGACAUUGGCCUAUUGUCCAUCGAGUCAUGGCAUCUCACGUCCCGCUCUGGAUGGCUAUUUUCUUUACUGCUUUUCAUUGGAUCUUAGAGAUCAUUUAGCUCCAACUCUCCCAUUUUAGAGGUGGAAAAGGUGAGACCCAGAGAAAGUUAGAGUUGCGCAAGGUCACGCUAAAGAACCAUAAUCCAGAUCCCUCCAUCUAACCCUCUGGUGCUCUUUCUCCCACACUCUCCUGCAAGCCCAGGGUCUCUUAACUCUGCAUUUGCCAGGCUGGUUCUCCCAGGCUGCAAAUUCUGUACCAAGCUAGCCCUGGUGGCCUUGGCCUUCCCUUUGCUGGAUGCCUACUGCACCUCAGGCUGUACCAGAGAAUUCGCCACUGAGUGGCAUCCCGGACAGUAUUAGAGAAGCUUCUCUGUACACAGGAAGGGGCCUGGGAGUCAGAUGAUUCAAUUUGGAAUCCAGGGCCAUCCAUUCAGAGUUUCAAACUCUGGGAGCCAUCGCGUUAAGUGCCUUUGUUUGUAAAAUGGGGAUGAUGAUCUAUUUCAUGCGAUUGUUGUGAGGAACAAGUGAGGUAGCAUUUGGGAAUGCUCUUUAUAGACUGCAAGGGCGCCGUGCCAGAACUGGUUUGUGUCCUUUCUCUCCGGGAAGAGACUGCCUGCUCCUUCCCUCUCUUCUCCCUACAGUAUUUAGCCGAGUGCUCAGUGGUACAUAGAAGAUACUCGAAGAGACUGCUCUGUUGAUUGAAUAUGAUCUCCCAGGACCCUCUGACCUGUUGAUGCAUCAGGCACCCAGCCCCAGACCUGGUGUUGGGGCGAGAGGGUGAAGCUGUGCAGGGAGCCUAUGGGGCCUGGGGAAGGGGAGGAGUAAACAGAGGGCUUGCAGAUGAAAAGUAAACUGGAUUUAGAAAACAAACUGGAGCUAAUGGCUGUAGGUGGUGUUAGUCAUGCUGUUAAGGAAUUUGGGAAUACAUAUGCAUACUAAUAGGGAUUUAUUUGGGCUGCUACUUACUCCAGCACUUGGGAAGGGAGGAGGGGUGGAGGGCACUGCAGGAUUAAAAGGCACCAGACCUUCAUCUCCAGAAAGUGCACUCUGGGGUUGGGCCUCAGCUUCUGAGGAUCCGUGUGCCCGAGUUCUACAAGGCCUGUGGGAUAAGCCGGGUGAAUGGAGUGCUAAGAAUUUAGGAGUGGUUCCCCGCUUCUAGCCUAUAUGGUAGACUCAGUGGAGGGAGAUCUCACGGUCUUAGGAAUCUGUGCCCCAGGAUCUCUCUUAUUCCCCCGGCCCACAAAGUCAGUCUUUAGAGGUGCCGUGGGAGACUCUGAGAAGCAUCUAGUGCAUUCUUGGGAUUACAGACUGCACCUCUUGCCUGGGACAGGCUCCACAGUUCCCACCCUGUGACUCCACACACUCAGGCACGUGGCUCUGUCCUACCAUCUAAUAUGAAUCCCUCACUUCUGUUUAUACCAGUUUCUUCUCUUUUUCACACUAGAGAGGCUCCUCAUAGUCCUUUGCACAGAUAGUUCUAUCUGUUAGGAGGCCCAGGCCAACUCAACCUUCUUUUCCUCAUGCUAAAGGCCUCCCCACUCCAGCCCCUCCUGAGAACUCUUCUGAUCAGGAGCUGUGAUCCCGCUGAGCAAGUGGGUAUUGGGAGCCAGCCAUGUACCCAGAAGAGUGCUGGGGGGUGGGGGCAGUGGGGAGGUUAGUGUCUAGAGUCCAGCCAGAAAGCCAAGGGAUGCAGACAAUAGGGUGAAGCUGGUCACGAGUGCUCAGGCGGGCAGGGGAAGAUGAGUCAUGGCUAGGGGCAGGGGAGCUUGGAUAAUUCAAAUUGAGGUAUUGGAGCUAUAUUCAAGUGUGUAGUGUGGCCCUGAUAUGCAGCACGAGGCACAAAGCACACCCCUUAGGCACCUGCUAGGAGCUCUCUGGGAAAUCAUUUGUCUGCCCUUGACUCUCAAACUGAAACAAAGAAAAAUGUACCCAGAGCCUUAAAUAUACUCAUGCCCUUUGGCCCAGUAAUUCUACUUCCAGGAAUCUAGAGCAAACAAAGACACAACAAGAAUGUGGGUGGAGAAUUUGAUACAAAGAUGUCCAUUGCAGGGUUAUUUAGAAGAGUGGAAAAUAAAUAGCCGUUGUUAGAAUGGCUUGUGUACAAGCUUUCUUCCUUGUUCCUCCACCCCUAUCCCAGCCAUGUGUACCCCUUUGGAAAGUCCUGGCUCUCCUCUGGGGUUCAGCAAUCAGUAAAAGCAGGAAGGUGGUUAACACAGCAGUCACCCCCUACCCAGCCCUUCUGGGUUUGCUCGAGCAAUCAAAAAACCCACCAUCAUUGACCUUUCCAUCAUUGAAGUGGGGUUAUCUUCCAGGGGUUUCCCACCAUGAGUGGUGAUUGCAGACUGGUUUUCUCUCGACCUCCCAAGGUACAUUUGGGUCCCCACCCUGCUCCAAUUGCCAAGGUCCCGGGAGUUCCCAGAGCUGGGCAGGUCCUUAGAAAGUACACCCUCCAGCCCCCUUGAGGGGAAGGCGUUGUCACACUGUUGGUUAGUCUAAAAGCCACCUUGAGCAUCCAGGCCCAGGGCUCAGUGGUAAGGUAAAGCAGAUGCAAUUGGAAAAAUAAACCCGUUGUCCUCAGAAUUACCCAAAAUGCAAGAAACGAACCAUUCAUUUAAAUACAUUUCAUGCAUAUGCAUUAAAAAAAGAGAGAGAGAGAGAAAUGAUCCAGGUCCAGGGAAUAUGCAUUCCCUUCUCUGGGCUGGGAAAACUUUUUGAUGAGGCAUUGGGUUCACUUUGCAGCAGGGACUGGGGCAUCCUUCCAGCAUCUCUGGGGGCUCCGGCCCCUCCCCCAUGCCCACCUAAUGCUUUUUUGGUUUCUGAGAGCAGCUCCGUUUUGCUCUGGUGCUAGCCUGGUCCUUAUCCCUGCGACUAGGGAUUUCAGUUCUCUCAUGGGUGACUGUAGGGUUAAGGAGAUAACCUAGCCCCUUUCUCUUGGGGUAAUUCAGAGACUUGAACCUGGAAUUCAGUUCCUCCUUCUACUCCCAAUGCCCCCUCCCCAGAAGCCCCCACCUGUGGUAUGCAAAACCCUCAGGUAAGCAAGGGAGGAAAUACUGGCCUUGCCUAUCUCCCCCCCUAUUGUCCCUCCCCCAUCUUCCUCUCUUCACACUCUUCUCCCUAUCUGCUACCUCCUUCAAAGCACCUCCAGCUUUCUCCUUCCUCUCUUUCCCAUUUCUUCUCCCCUCGUCUAUCCCUACCCCAGCUCUGCUUCUCUUUUCUUAACCCAGCACACCCUGAUAUACCUUGACUUUCAUCCUGGCCAUGCCCUUCUCCCUGCCCCCCGCCCCCCCCCCCCAGGCUUUCCAGAAUCCCUGCAGGGAAGGGCCUAUUUUUCAGAGUCUGAAGUAGGCUGGUAUGGCAGUUUCCCUGGAUGCACAUGGAGAGGGUGUCCGGAACAUGGGGCCUGGGUGCGGGGGGUUCUGCCAAUCUACACCCACCUGUGUGCAUAGGCAGGUAGGAGGCAGGGUCUUAUAUUACAGAUUUAUCCAACUGAGCCAAUCCUGGGCUGCAGAGACACAGCCACAUGCCACAUGUGCCUCCCUGUGGGUAUCUGGGACAGGUGCAAGGGAGGCGUUAGCCACUAGGAGAGAAGAGAUGGAUUGAGACAUUUUCCCUGCCCCUGGAUUAACCAGCUAGAGUGCCAGCAGGAAUCUCAAAUUUUCAUUUCUUUCAGUAGGACAGGUACCUCUUGGGAAGCUCAGUAAGGCAGAGCCCAGUCCAGCCUUCCCAGGAACUGGUUGCUGAUCCCAGUGGGUAAAGAGGAUAACCAAAGGAAGAUGAGACCCUGGCCAGACCCCGACCUUCUGAUGCUAAGCCCGCAGUCAGCCUGGAGUAGGGACUACCUGCCAACGUGCCUUGGACAAGUCGCUUUAGACUUCCGCCCUCAGUGUCCUCCCAUGUCAGAUGAGGGGUUGCUGGGAGGAUCACACAAGGAAAGAGUUGCAAAAGGUGCUGUGCGAACAGCUGGCGCCACCGCACACCUCACGGAUCCCUGUGAUACUCACGGAAAGUCUAAGCCUGUGUGUGCGCGUGUUCCCGGCGCUCAUCUUUCACGGGUCCCCCGCCAGGAUGCGGGGCUCGGAGCCGGGCCCCGGGCUGGAUGGGCGCGAUCCUCCCAGCCCCCACCCCCAGCCCCGGGCCGGCGCGGCGGGUUUGCGUCCUGCAGGCGGCGGGGCUGGAGGCUGCACGGCGCGCUCCGCACGUGAGGCGGCAGCACCGGCGCCGGCUGCAGCGGCGCAGCCCCGGCCGCCCGGCCCGCCUUGCGCAGGGGCAGCCCGCGCCACUCGGUCGCCGAGCCCGCCCUCCCGGCUUCCGGGGCUCGCGGCCCGCCCGCCGCCCUCCCGUCUCUCCGUGCGGAGCCCUCUGGCCGGCUCUCGCCGGCUCCAGGCCACCCCCGCGGGCCGCGCGAAUCCCUCCGGUUUCGGCGGCGGUGGAGGUCGGCGCGAAAGGGGGUGCGUUGGGCGGCGGGCCCGGCUCCUGCAGCUCCGCCGGCCACCGCUGGGGGCUGCCGCGCCGGAGAGCUCGGCGGGGACGGUGCGCACCGCCCGAGGUUCUCGGGCGCCUCCGGCCGCCGGGCUUUCUCCACCGCCGGCUCCGCGCUGCCUCCGCAGCCGGCCCGGCUCCCUGCCGGAUCCGUGCGUGUGAUCGCUGUGCGUGUGUGUGUGUGUGUGUGUGUGUGUGUCCGGGUGCGCGCGUGUGCGCGCGCGCGGGGGGCGGUGUGCACGCGGGGAGUGCGGGGGAGUGUGUUUGUGUGUGUGCGUGUGGGUGUGAGUGCCUGGCUCUCUCUCGCUGAGACACACACACACACACACGCACACACACACACGCACACCCCGGCUGGCUCGCCUGAACUUGAAGACACCCCACAUUCCGAGAUGCCCGAGGUCCCUGGGAAUGCCCCGGGUUCUUCGAUCUGGAAAAUCCUACCGGCGUCUUCCUAGGGGGGGAUUAUCUUAUUUUUGGUUUGGGGUUUUUUUUUGUUUUUUGUUUUUUGUUUUUUUAAUCUGGAAGAGAAGAGAACAAGUUGUGCUUUUCCCUCCGUUCUUUUCGCUAAAUGCUGUGGAUAUAACUGAAUAAGCCGCUCAGGGCUCUCCCCGCGUGGACGUCCGAGGCCACCAUCUGCCUGCGUUCGCCGGAGCCGGAGGGCUUAGCUCGAGCCUGUCUCGGGCGGGGAAGGAUGCGUGGCCGAGCCGGGGAGCCCGGGCGCCCCGCGGAGCCGGCCUCGGAGCCUCCCAGCCAGGGGUAGAUGCUGCCUCGCCCAGAUCUGCCGCGCUCGGCCCCCAGCAGAGGAAGGGGCCCUGGUUGCCAUGCUGCCGAGCUGUGAUGCUCACCCCCCUCCCUCAGAACCCGGCUGUUGCAGGCCCCAGAGCUGGUGACCGGAGCUGAGCCCCUGGAAACCCCAGGCCGUUUGUAUCAAGGCCGAUAAGCUUCAGCCUGGGCACGGUGGGGCUGCCGAAGGACCUGGUGCACUCCAGAAAGAGAAGAGGCAACAUGGAGACGCUUGGGGCUGAGGAGGGACACGAUAGCAGUUCCCUCGUGUGAUGGCUGGGAGUGACUGGAGAUUCGGUCCCAGGGAGGAGCACUUCUCCGGAGGAGCUGUCACCUGUGAUGAGGGCUGCGGUCAGAGGGGCUCUUCCUCUCUCCCGGACCCCCCCCCCCACCCCGCCACCGCCGCUCUGCCCCUCCUCUGUCUCUCCACACCCCUGCUGGCCUGAGGCACGGACAUGGCCAUAAAUAAUAGUAAUAAAGAGAGAGUCUGUGCCAAGUGAGAUGAUUUUAUGAAAUUACAUUUUUGAAAAGGUUAAUUCUUCCAUCUCCCCACUUGUACUCCAAUCUGGAGAGGCAAAUGUGGAUUAAUUGGUCCCAUUUCCUCCCCGGCCUCCGAGGGACACUGACAAGAUGUUUGCUUGCACCAGGGCCUGACUUGUCCAUCAGGCUUGCCGGAAGCAGCCUGUCAGUCAGGGCCCUCCUUCCCCCUGGAGCUGGCUGACCUCCCUCCCUGUCAGGCUCAGGGCCAGCGGGGGCCCUCCCGACCCCAGCCUGGGAAGUCCUGGCAGAUGGAGGGACAGACGGCAGAGACAAGAGAGGGGGCCCCCAGAGAGACUUCUGGAAGUGGCUGUGGAGGGCAGGACACGGGAGGAACAGAUGUGGGUGAGGGGGUCCCGGUGGGAAGCCUGAAGCUGGGAGCCCCCGGGAGACAUGCAGGGAGUAGGCAGGGUGGGUGAGUCAGACAGGGGAAGGGAAUGGAGACAGAUGGACAGACAGACGUGAGGGAGGAGCCAGGAGCUGGCGGGUAGACCUUCUUUCUGGUCUCUACUUUCCACCUUUUCGUUGUUAUUUUUCCCCCCAAAUCAGGCAGAGGAAGUCCGGGGAAGACAGACCCUGAGGGAAGGCAUUUACCUCAAAGGGAGACGAAGAGAAUCGGGGAGGAGUGUUUUCUGGGAGCACCAAGUGUGACCUGUGUCCCUUCCCACUUAUCUCCUAACCAAGCCGGCCCUCCUUGUGUCCCCAGGGCCCUGGGCUGCCCAGCUCUCCUCCCCUCCCUCACCAUCUUGGAUGCCCGGUCCCCCUCCUCCAGGCGAAACUGGGGUGGUGUCAGCAGCUCCGCCUUGUGUCCCCGACGGCCACUCUUAGCUGUGCCACCUCAUGCAGACACUGCCCCACUCUGGGCCUCAGUUUCCUCAUCUGUGAAGCGAAGGGGCUGGACGAGCUUGUUCGAAGUAUCUUACAGUGCUGAGGUGUGGAGAGCGCUGGGUGCUUAGACGAAAGGGGUGCUCUGGUGUUUAGCUGUGUGAUGACUUUAUUUUGGUGGGAGAUCAUCACCGGUUUUUAAGUACGAUAAAGUGGACCAGUAGGGAAACAGAGAGGCAGUGAGAGGGAGGCAGGCUGCGUGGGGGUGUCCGUCUGUCUGUCUCUGUGUGCCUCUGUGUGUCGCGGGGGGACAGGGGAAAUAUGCCAGCAGGUGCUCUUGUGUGGCUGAGUCUUUCCCCUCCUUGGGUUAGCUCCUCCCAUGUCCCGCUCCCCAGGGUGAGCCUGGAUCCCAGUCAAGACCUAGCCCACCACGCUGAAGCCUUGGGAGAUACAGGAGUGGACCUUCUCUCAAGGAGACAGAGGAGGUCAGACUCUAUACGGGUUGUGUUUCACCUCCAGACCAGACCCGGGGGCUUGUGCCAUAACUGGAAUCACCCCUGAUGCGCAAUGGGUACAGGGAGGAAGCAUUCAUUCUACCUGAGGGUUGUAGGGAUCAAGGGAGGGGCUUCCUGGAGGAGGAGACAUUUGAAAUAUAGAUUGAUUACACACUCUGGGCCAUGGGAAGCUGGGCAAAUGGCUCAGUCAAGGGACGGAGAGGCAGGCAGGUGCCCAGGGUGUGUGGGGACAGGUAGAGAGUGAAUCUGUCAGAUGGCUGUGCCUCGGCCAGGUAUGAGAAGUGAGAGGCAUAGAAAGUCCUCUCACGGGAAGUGAGGCUGAGAGGUGUCUUUGUUUCAGUGGAGCAGAGGCAGAGGGAAGGGCAGGCAGGGCAUGGAUGGGGAGGGGACAGGCAGAUGGCCAGCAGACAGGGUCCCUGCUGCCUGGUGGCCCCAGAGAAGGAAGGAGUGGGCUGGAGAGAAGAUUCAGCCCCCCUGGCACCCUCUCCCCGUGGCCCCUGAUGGGGCCAAGCCACCUAUUUCCUGGCUAGGGUCCCCUCCUGACAGGCACUCUCCCUGUUUAUUCCUGUUCAAAGAGCAGGGAAGACCUAUUUCCCUCCCAAGAGCCUAUUUAUUCUGCUUUCUCAUUUUCCAAUCCAGUGACUUUACAGCUUUUUUUCGUUUGGCUUCAUCUUCCCAACAAGAGGAACUAUUCCCUCUCCUUCUCAUCCCCCGGCUGGGGAAGAACUGGGGAUGCUGCUGUGGCUGGGAGGCCUGGGGCCUGCUGCGCACCAGCCAGGUGGGCCUGGGGGCCCCACUCUCCAUUCCGGGGCUCACGAAGCAGGACCGCUUACUCUCUCAUGGCCCUGUAGCCCCAGGACCAUAGAGAAGAAGCGGGGUUUAGAUGAGACAGAGAGAAGCAGGGAGCCGGGGAAGGGGGGUGGGUCUCCCAGUCUGGCAAUGGAUGGUGGGCUUGGGGCCCCCUUUGGUUUGCUCCUAUCAUCUAUCUUUCCCCACUUUUGAGAGCGACCCCUAAUCCCAGCCAUCCACCCGAUCCCACCAUCCUUGGAUUUGCUGAUGAAACCCACUGAUGGCUUACCGCCCUAGGUCACAGUUCCUUGGGCUUCUGACCAUCCCUUCACACCUUCCUCUUUCCAAAAAGAAGGGGUCCUACACCUUUCACAGCUAUCUGCCCACCUCUCCUCCCUUUCGUUGAUCUCAGGACUGGUUCAUUUUGUUGAGGGGAAGGAUAGACUCCCUGGGGUUGCCAUUUCUGGAGAUGAGGAAGACCAGGGAAACAGAGGCUGAGGGUGGGGGUGGGGGUGGGGACAGGAAGCAAUUGUUUAUGGCCCUGAUAGGCCCGGGAUGCCUGUUAGGCACCCUGGGGAGAUGUCCUGAGAGUCAAAUUGUGAGUCUAGAGCUCUGGGUGAGGCUAGGGCUGGGGACAGGAACUCAGACUCAUCAGCAUAGGAUGGUAUUUCCCCAAGGCAAAGGGAAUAGAUAAAGAAAAGAGAUGGCCCAGAAGGGCCUGGAACGGGACAAAGUUUUGUUGAAAGAAUGAGCAAAAAAAAAAAAAAAAAAAAAAAAAAAACUGUGCAGGACUGGCCAAAGGGGAAGGGGAAACCAGGAACCUCUGUCAUCUCUGUUUCCAGUGUCUUCCUAAUGUGGCUGGUCCCUGGUGGUCUUUGGGUCCCUUCACCUAUCGGGCUCAUAUCCUCAGGGAACAGACCAGACAGAACACAGACUGAAUCAGAAUCUCAGCCCCACCCCCAACUAUGUGGCCUUGAGCAACUUACUCCAUGCCUCUGAACCACGUUUCCUCAUUGCGCAUGCAGAAAAUUCAACAAAACCCAUGGGACACCUGGCACCUAGUAGCCACUCCAUAAAUGUCAGUUCUCUUUCCCCUCCUCACUCUCCCUAAAAUAAACCACCGUGGUAUGCAUCAUCUCAGAAGGAAGUCCUAUAGAGUUUGAGAUAUUUGUCUUUAAAUACACUAUCUUACACUUGCCCACACCGAAUCUCAUCUGUCACUUUUCUACCCACUCACACACACCCUUGUGGGAUUCUGUAGUGUGUAUCCCCAUUGGCUUGACAUUUCACUUCCCCCAAAAAACUUAGUGCCAUUUGCAGAUUCCCAGCUCUCGCUGUGUACUCUGUCUUCCAGAUGAUUUAUUAAAAUUGCAAUCGAGGUGCUCCAUCCUGACCACAGGGCAUCUCUGUUGGCCGUUCUCCACCCAGAGAAGUGGCUGGCACAUCUCCAGCAUCCUGUUCAUUUCUGACCUAGGCACAGUGCCUCUGAGCUACCCGCCAUCCCAGAAGCCAUCCAUAAGCCCGAAUGAAGCCCCCAGGAGGCCGUGCCACCUGCCAAGUUCCCCAGAAAAUCCCUGUGCUUUGGGAGCCAGGGGUCCCACCCUUUUCAGAGACACCUCCAUUCUCCUCUCUAGCAUCAGAAAUUGAAAUGCAUUAGUCCACGGGUCUCAGGUCUCCUCUAAGAUUACUCUUGUGGGGAUUGUAGUCCCAUUGGGUCCUGCUUUGAUCCCACCAUUUUGGUUCACACCUGCUCCCACUGCCCCACUCCCCUUGCAUCUGUGGCUUGAGGGCCUUCUCUGGCCACUGGCACAUGCUCUGCCCAGACAGGUACACAGGCCAGCGGUGCUGGAGAAUUUCACUGUGAGAGCCGCUCUCAAACACUGACUGAUGGGCCCUCCCAUCCCUUAUUCUUCAGCAGGGAGAACACUGAUACGGAUCCUAUACAGUCACCCAGAGGUCCCAAUGGGACUGAGCUCCAGUUACCCACCAUUGUAAUGUGCUUGAGAACACACUUUUUAUCUGCUGCCAUCUCUUUCCCACCUCACCUCCCCUACACCCCUCCUGUGUUUUCAGGGACCACCUCCCCAGGAAACUAUGUGCCCUCGACUCCUUAUCUCAGGGUCUCCUUCUGGGAGAACCUAACCCAAGACACCCCGGCUCAUCGGCUCAUGAUAACCAAGGACCCUUGAGCUGCAGCUGGCCCGAUUCACCCUGUGUUCUUCUGGGGACUUGAAGUCCAGCCUCUGGGCAUACUCCACACCAAGAGUUCUCCCCGACUCUAGCCAGCAGCCUUCCCUGGUCCAAGACUGCGUGGGGUGCUGGGCCAGAACUCUCCUCCGGGCCAGGGCAUUUCUGAGAGUCGCCCGUCAACGUGGGAAGAGUUUAUCUUGUCACUGGCUGCAUUGUCUGCUGAUUUAUCUCUAUCCAGGGGAGUAGGGCCCAGCUGCAGACAGCAAACAUAUUGAGUAAAUUCCUAAUGAACUGAUUACUCAGCUUAGCAUUUUAACUGCAGCAUUAAGCAUUCUCUCACCCUCAUAAACAUGUUGAACUACUGAAGGGAUUAUGGCUUCCAGGCUGGCCACUCUGUCACUGGGAAAAAUUAAUCUCGAGAUUUAAUCAAAGCCAAGACCACAAACUGCAGUAGGGAAGGGCCUUUUUCUUUCCAUGAUGCCCAGGAGAUGGCAGGGAAUCCAUAGCUCCCUCCGACUUGUGAGUGACCUUGAGACGUCAUCUGGUCCAUUCUCCUAGGCCUGUGUGCACACAGACCCUCACGCCCCGAUGACUGGAACCUUUUCUAGACACCAUCCAGAUGAGAAAUACCCUUCUGUAGAUAGAAGGGUAAACCCAAAAGGAAGUAGGUUAACGAGCAAGGUUGGAAUGCGAUGUAGACAGCAAAUGCAGGGUUCUUCCCUAUCCUUAGCCUCUUCCGUUAGAGAUUCGCUGUGACCCACAAAUCCUCAUCUGGGGGCUUUUGCAGUAGCCAAGACUACAUUUGGAUGCUUUGCGUGUCUUCCCCGAGCUUCCCCAUCUCUCCUGACCUCUGUCAGCUUCUGUGCGAUCGGGCUGAGGAGGAGUGUGGAUGGCAGAGCCUGUCUGUGCGGCUGUCACCUGGGCAAGUGUGUCAGCGUGUGAGGCCAGCAGAGUCUGCGAGGAUUGCAUCCUCCAAGGAAGGGACCAGAUGUUGGAUUCCAUGGCUCAAAGCUCGUGGUCUUAGUUUAAAUGUGCUCAUGGGUAGGCCUGUGUGAUUAGUAAGCAGCAGCUAAGAACUGUCCAGUGUCUAGCUCCUGAAGGAGAAGGCCUGGAGGCCCUGUGUGGCUCCAGAGAGCCCUUGAGCCUAGAUUCUCAAAGUCUGGUCCUAAAGGGCAGUCCUGGGACAUCCGGGCUCUCACUACCUGCAAAUAGUGUCCAGACAGCUAGCAAUGCAGCAUCUGUGGCCUCACCCAGACCUCCCGGAUCAGGACCUUUUUUUCUGGAGUCCCCAGAUAUUUCAUGUGUGCCUCUAAGUGUGAGAGGUGCUGGCCAGCCAUCCAGAGACCCUGCUCUGAACUCAGAAGGCGGGGGCAGAUCCACCGAGGAGCUCUCCCUCCUCAAAAUCAGAGCAGCCAAUGGCCAGGGACAGAGAAACACUGAUGAGCAGUAACCGGGCAGAGGCCUCCGGAGAUGAGAGCUCUCAGCCAGCUCUGUCCCUCGACCUGUCACCACACUCUGUCCCUGUCAGGGCCUGCUGUCUGCCCGCUAGUAAAUCCUCGCCCCUGGAACAUGAUCGUUUCCUUGGCAUUGGGGACUCAGGGGUGACAGGAAGCCUCUUACUGAACCCCUGGGUACAGGUUGUGCCAACGGAGACCGAGAGCUGUGUGCCCACUGUGCAUGCCGAGACAGCCCCACACCCGGCGGGUAGAGUGGACGAGAGACAGCCAUCCCCUCUGAGUCAGGCACCUUGUUAGAUUCCAAAGGCAGAUGGUGGGAGAGACUCUGGGGGUCACCUUGCACUUGGACCAAGAAUGCUCCCCGGGAGUCAGAUGCCCCUUGUGCGUGUUUGGGAUAUCACAGCAGAACCUGUCUCGAAGCUAACUGAGCCCCAAGAAAGGAAGGGAAGUUCCAGCCUCUGAGCUGCCAGGCCUCCCCCUCCCUCUCCCCGACUCUCCUGUCAGGUCCACGCCACAGAAUCGCUGCCCCUCAUUUCCUGCCACUUCUUCUUCUUUUUUUUUUUUUUAGAUGCAAAAUCGGGGAUGGCAAUAGUAAGUGUCUCCUAGGGGUGAUGUGACAAUUAAAUGAGCUGAUUUACCGAAAGCUCCUCAAAUAGAGUCUGGCACAUUGUAAGUGCUCAAUAAAUGCUGUCGCUUGCCAUCACUGUUGUUCUCGUGCUCCCACUGGCUCCCCAUCAGACCAGGGCUGUCCCUUCUGGAGGCCGGGCAUCUCCCACCCCCUUCCCCAAGAAGCCCCGUGACCCCGGGAAGAAUGGAGGCCAGGCUGUGAGGGUGCUGCUGGCCCCACUAGCUGCCUUCCCAGUAAAGCCUGGGGAGGCGGGAGUGGAGAAGAGACAGGGCAGGGAGGGCAGUGGAGAAGGGAGAGAAACAAAUGGCAGGAGAAGGGGGUGGAAACAAGGGGAAACAGAGAGAAGGGAAGGGAAGUCCCUCCAGCAUCUAUCGUGUAUCUGGUUUUUACACGCAGUUUCUCAUUGAUGCCCCACAGCAUCAAUGUUAAAUCUUAGUCACCCAUUUUGUGGAUGGGGAAAGUGAGGCUCUGAGCGGUGAAAUAGCUUACCCAAGGGUCAAGCUAACCAGUUUUCACAGAUUCUUUCUUCUCAACCACCCUGGAGCCUUCUAGGCUUUGGAGGAAGAGGAGAGAACUCCAAAGGACAGAGGAGGCUUCAGCAGGGACAGGGCAUGGCCCCUUGGGUGACUCAGGCAUGUCCGGGCACCUCUGGCAGGCCCGUGCCACCCAGGACCUCACUACAGUCACUUCCCCGCCUGUGUGCCCGGUUCCUCUGAAGUGCUCCUUGACCCAAGCCCGAACCAUCUCCCACUCUGCCCGCCCGUGGCUUCUGACCCGCCACACCUGGCCAGGAGGAACGAGAGGCUGGGCCCGGGGACCUGUGAGGGCAGGCGAGGGGAGGGGUGCAGGCACAGGCGGGGCGAGGGAUGAGUAGGAGGGGAGGGCGCAGUGGGGGGAGGCUGCCAAGGCCGCUGGAGGUAGCGGAGUGCUGACUUCAGAGAAGCUGGCAGGUGUCACCAUGGCAACCGCAGACCAGUGACAUCUCCGAAAAAGAAAAAGGACAACAAGUUUGAAGAUUUUAUUUGCUGGUUUUGCACUCUUUGCCAAGAAGAGAAGGCUGGGUAGACAGGUUGGGUGGGGGUGUCAGAGGAAGGCUCCCCCUGAAGAGAGGAUGUGGUUGAACCCCUGAGGAAGGUGGUGGAAGCUUCUGCACGUGGGCUUUAGGACCCCCAGGCCAUGGUUCCCUCUCCUGAGGCAGAUCCAUCUACCCUCCAUCUUCCAGAUCCUAUUUUGAGAACUGGGGACUCCUCAGGGCUUGUCAGUCCGGUCUGGUUCUAUGCACAGUAACCCCCCGAGAAUCCCUGUUCAGACUUAGGCCCACCAGGAGGAGGAAACUUCAGAGGUCAAGAUUUUCCACGCCCCAUCCUCCCUCCCCCUGCCUAAAAGUACCCCCUUCAUCUACAUGGCAUUUGACAUGCAUCCAGGAGACACAGGAAACAAAAGUUCCGACUCCCAGAGCCACACUGCCUGGCUCCGUAACAUCCUUGGUCUUCCAGCCAUGUGGGUAAACUAGUUAGCAACUGUACCUUGGUUUCCCCACUGUGGGACCGGGUCAAUAAUGAUAUCUGCUUCACUGGGUUGUGGGCCUGAGUUUCCAGCCCCAGCAUAGGGACCUCUCAUAUGUGGGCAACCCCCACCUUGAUCUUGCCCUGACAGCCUCCAUCCAGCACACUCACCGGGUCUCUGGAAGGGAGAGGAAGAGGAUCCCAUCUUCUUAGGUCUGCCUUUCCAGGCUGCUCUGGGACCACAUGCACAGCUAGAGUCCCUGGGCCUCAGAUUGUUUAAGCGGCUUUCCAUCCCUGGAAUUUCUAAGAUCCUGAGCAAGAAAAAUGCACACAUACACGCACGCACACACACACACACACACAUGCAUACUGAUUUCGAUCCUCAGAGGAGGACCUGUCUGCAUUGAUGAGAGUGUGAACCAGAGGCUGCUUUUCGAUAAGUAGUUUCCUUCCUUCCAGACCCAAGCCCGCAGAAGAUCUGUCUUCCUGAACAGACCCAGACACUUGUCAGGGACCCAUCAGCAAUGGGUGACUCACUCAAAUUAGCCUGGCAGUUGCAAAUAACAUGUAAGUGCUCUAGAAAGGUUCUCUGUGCAUGUUUUCCCCAGAAUUUUUUUAACGUUCCCUGUAGAUGUAGAUAGGUGAUAUUGUUUUAGGCUCUAUCUUAAUUGCUAUGAAUUUCAGAGGAACGAGGCUUGGCCGUAAACGCCCAACCAGCAGUUAGCCAGUGCUUGUAGGUCCCACCGGACCUCCUCUGAGAGUUGGGGUUCUGUGUGACCCAUUUUUAAGGUCUUAUCCUUAUUUCCAGGGGAAGGAAUGAGGGGCCCGGAGGUCAUGGGCUCCUUCGAGAUCACACGGUGAGCCAGUCAAAGAGUCAGGCCUCAAAUUCUAAGUUCUCCCGGCGCUAGACAUGAUCCCUGACCUACAGGGCAGCCUAUGUGGUGAUUAAGAGCCUGGGCUCCUGACCGGACAGGUAGGGCCAAGUCCCAGCUUUCCCAGCAUCUAGCUGUAGGAAACCACCUUUCAGGCCUCCAUUUCUGCAUCUGAAAAUCAGGGAGAAAACGUCUAACCCGGUGCUGUUAAAAGAGCCAAAGAGUAAAUAUAUACCGAGUUCUUAGAACAAAGCCUGGUACACAGCAAGUGCUCAAUCAGUGUUUGAUUUCAGCCUUCCCAUGGAGGCCAUGAGGCUUCCAUCCAUGGCUCUGGAGAAGAGGAGUAGAUACAUGUCUCUACCCCAACAUCAAUUCUCAAGGGUCCUUGAAGUUUUCCUAAAGGUAGGCCUUUAAAAAAAAAAAAAUCAUGGGUUUUAAGCCAAAACUAUCUUCCC